rnacentral:tRNA from 2 species
UAGAGAAUAAGUUAUUUAAACUAUAGGGCUCAUGACCCUAAAAAGAUAUUUUAUCUUCUCUA